rnacentral:misc_RNA from 1 species
ACAACCAACAUCUUACAAGGGGAGACUACGAUCCAAAUCAUUAUGCACCACGUAAAGAUUGGGUCCAUAAACCUGUCAUUCCUCAACAGUGUCAGUGAUUAAUCCAUUCCCAAAGAACAUGGAAAAUUUGAUACUAAUAUCCAGAACAGCUCUGCCACCUUCUUGUGAAGGAUAAUCAAAUGGUCGUUGUUCAGUGCAAGACAAGCAGGCUCAUUCUGGUAAGCUACGAUGACUCUUGUACUGGUCAUCUUUCUUGGCUGCCCUCAUAAUCUCCUGCUGCGCAGCCAAUGGAAA